rnacentral:rRNA from 1 species
UACAGAGGGGGCAAGCGUUGUUCGGAAUUACUGGGCGUAAAGGGCGCGUAGGCGGCCUGCUAAGUCGAACGUGAAAUCCCUGGGCUCAACCCAGGAACUGCGUCCGAUACUGGUUGGCUUGAAUCCGGGAGAGGGACGUGGAAUUCCAGGUGUAGCGGUGAAAUGCGUAGAUAUCUGGAGGAACACCGGUGGCGAAGGCGACGUCCUGGACCGGCAUUGACGCUGAGGCGCGAAAGCCGGGGGAGCAAAGCGGG